GAUCUCAAUGAAUAUAAAAUUAGUGGAAGUUGAGAUACUAUUAUAUCGAUCUUAUAUUUGUAAUCCUCAACAAAAGAUAUGAGGAGUAAUGAAUUUUAUUAAUUACAACUUUUUACUGAGAAUAAAAAAAGUUUUUGAAAGUAUAGUACUAUAUAGCACUUAAUGUUUUCCUUGUACAUCUAGGGAGUGAGUUGCAUGUUGGAGUAUGUGUUGGGAUAGGAGAUUAGAGUGCUUAU
rnacentral:lncRNA from 1 species